rnacentral:rRNA from 1 species
CGAUGAUACGCGAGAACUUACCCGGGCUGAACUGCAGGAGACGAUACAGAGAUGUGAGGCCCUUCGGGGCUCCUGUGGAGGUGCUGCAUGGUGUCGUCAGCUCGUGCCGUGAGGUGUCGGCUUAAGUGCCAUAACGAGCGCAACCCUUUUCGUCAGUUGCCAUCAGGUGAUGCUGGGCACUCUGGCGAUACUGCCACCAUAAGGUGUGAAAAAGGUGGGGAUGACGUCAAAUCAGCACGGCCCUUACGUCCGGGGCUACACACGUGUUACAAUGGGGAGUACAGAGAGUCAACCGCCGGCAACGUCGGUUUAAUCAAGAAAGCUCUCCUCAGUUCGGAUUGGGGUCUGCAACCCGACCCCAUGAAGCUGGAUUCGCUAGUAAUCGCGCAUCAGCCAUGGCGCGGUGAAUACGUUCCCGGGCCUUGUACACACCGCCCGUCAAGCCAUGGGAGCCGUGGGCGCCUGAAGUCGGGGUCGUACCCUGCCUAGGGCGAAUUCGGUGACUGGGGCUAAGUCGUAACAAGGUAACCUA